CUGUGUUCAUUAUGAUCUCAGUAUAAUCCCACUACUAGCAACCAGCAUGCUUGAAUGUAGACAUAGUAGCAGAAGGAGAGAAGUGUCAUGUGUAAAACUGGUGACUAAUAAAAUAUCCACAGAUUGGCACAAUGAUUGAAACCUCAAGGACCAUGGCACCAGAAAACUUUAGGACGUUCAUUCACAUCCUACAUAAUACAGUUCAACUUUUUAGUCCUUGAAAAUUACCAAGCAUCAAGUAGAUGUCUCCUUGGUGAAGUGGCACUGCCAAGCCAGGUGUUUCUAUGUCCCAUGCCACCUUCAAGCCCACGUGCCAAACAGCUGGGUCUCUUCCCUCCAGUUCCUGUUCGCUGCUUUCUUGUACAGAUGAAUCUUGAGAGAGAGAGAAAGAGACCACAAGAAUGAGGGAACAGGAGUCACGAAAUUUCAAGACAAGGCAAAGCUGUCAAGUUAACAGGAAUGUGGUGAAGGUUUUUCUUGAUCAAAAUAGAUUUUUUUGUGGCACUAUACAAUUAUUUGUGUUGAUGAUUUGCCAUGUGCAAGAGAUGUGUGAAACAUGCCAUCAGAAUUUUUGGAAUCAAUCCUGAUCCAUGACAGGUCCAUUCACACUGAUCUACUCACAGAAUAACUCAACACUAACUCAAUGAACAUUGUUCCUUCGGCCAGUGGCAAUUAAUGGAACAGAACUGGCAAUUUCCUUACCUAGCUGAGUGUAGAUUUGUCACACAUGGAUUAGCA